AGGGAAUCUUGCGCAAUGGGCGAAAGCCUGACGCAGCAACGCCGCGUGGGGGAUGAAUGCCUUCGGGUUGUAAACCCCUUUCAGCAGGGACGAAAUUGACGGUACCUGCAGAAGAAGGUCCGGCCAACUACGUGCCAGCAGCCGCGGUAAUACGUAGGGACCGAGCGUUGUCCGGAAUUAUUGGGCGUAAAGAGCUCGUAGGCGGUUCAGUAAGUCGGGUGUGAAAACUCAAGGCUCAACCUUGAGACGCCACUCGAUACUGCUGUGACUUGAGUCCGGUAGAGGAGUGUGGAAUUCCUGGUGUAGCGGUGAAAUGCGCAGAUAUCAGGAGGAACACCAGCGGCGAAGGCGGCACUCUGGGCCGGUACUGACGCUGAGGAGCGAAAGCAUGGGGAGCAAACAGG
rnacentral:rRNA from 1 species